rnacentral:rRNA from 1 species
UGGGGAAUAUUGCACAAUGGGCGCAAGCCUGAUGCAGCCAUGCCGCGUGUAUGAAGAAGGCCUUCGGGUUGUAAAGUACUUUCAGCGGGGAGGAAGGUGUUGUGGUUAAUAACCACAGCAAUUGACGUUACCCGCAGAAGAAGCACCGGCUAACUCCGUGCCAGCAGCCGCGGUAAUACGGAGGGUGCAAGCGUUAAUCGGAAUUACUGGGCGUAAAGCGCACGCAGGCGGUCUGUCAAGUCGGAUGUGAAAUCCCCGGGCUCAACCUGGGAACUGCAUCCGAAACUGGCAGGCUUGAGUCUUGUAGAGGGGGGUAGAAUUCCAGGUGUAGCGGUGAAAUGCGUAGAGAUCUGGAGGAAUACCGGUGGCGAAGGCGGCCCCCUGGACAAAGACUGACGCUCAGGUGCGAAAGCGUGGGGAGCAAACA